rnacentral:rRNA from 1 species
AGCUUGCUAAAUGGACUCAUGGCGGACGGGUGAGUAACGCGUAAAGAACUUGCCCUUUAGACUGGGAUAACAGAGGGAAACUUCUGAUAAUACUGGAUAAGUUAGUAUAUCGCAUGAUAUGCAAAUGAAAGCUACGGCACUAAAGGAGAGCUUUGCGUCCUAUUAGCUAGUUGGUAAGGUAAGAGCUUACCAAGGCGAUGAUAGGUAGCCGGCCUGAGAGGGUGGACGGCCACAAGGGGACUGAGAUACGGCCCUUACUCCUACGGGAGGCAGCAGUGGGGAAUAUUGGACAAUGGAGGGAACUCUGAUCCAGCAAUUCUGUGUGUGUGAAGAAGGUUUUAGGACUGUAAAACACUUUUAGUAGGGAAGAAAAAAAUGACGGUACCUACAGAAGAAGCAACGGCUAAAUACGUGCCAGCAGCCGCGGUAAUACGUAUGUUGCGAGCGUUAUCCGGAAUUAUUGGGCUUAAAGGGCAUCUAGGCGGUAAGACAAGUUGAAGGUGAAAACCUGUGGCUCAACCAUAGGCUUGCCUACAAAACUGUUGAACUAGAGUACUGGAAAGGUGGGUGGAACUACACGAGUAGAGGUGAAAUUCGUAGAUAUGUGUAGGAAUGCCGAUGAUGAAGAUAACUCACUGGACAGAAACUGACGCUGAAGUGCGAAAGCUAGGGGAGCAAACAGGAUUAGAUACCCUGGUAGUCCUAGCUG